CUUGGUCUCCCUUUUUUUCUCAUGGGAGGAAUACCAGCUUUCUUUUUUUUCUCUAAAGUGUGCCACCUUCUGGGAGGAAUAAUGCUUGCAAAGUUCCUCCCACCCACUCCAAGGCUUCCAAACUCUUCUGGGUUGUUUUUUGUUUUUUCGCGCUGGAACUUUUCCUCCAUAAACCUGAACUUUCCUGAAGGCCCUCUUGUCUGUAAAUAUCUGCCCAAGUCUGUGUUUUCCAGGCACCGCGACCAAAAGGGAUUGGAUCUGGUUCACAGGAUCCUGCUGGUUCCACUGGGGUCUAUCUGCCUAUUAUCCAGUUCACAGGUUCCGAGGCAUAUAUCUAAAGCAUGGAUUCCAUUUCUCAACCGGCUGUGACCUUGAUCCAUGACCAAGCCCCUUGAGCAGAAUUUUUUCAUACGAACAAGACCUUUGGUAAACUGUGGUCUGGAAGUAGACGAUUCUCCUGACAUAACAUCAGAAGGUCAGCAGUAGCCUAACACUCCAUCUCCCUGCCUACCUACAUCAUUCACCUCAGUUCAUCUCAUCACAUAGGCAUUUUAUCGUCUCAACCAUCGCACGAGGAAGGAGACACCACAAGGCCAGGAACACCAGCAGGGGUGAACACACCCUAAUAAGCACACUGUCCAGGCAGUUUUCUUCAUUUCUGUGGCUGAAGGCUCCCUUCUUCCAG